GCGAGCGGCGGAUGGGUGAGUAACACGUGGGGAACCUGCCCCAUAGUCUAGGAUACCACUUGGAAACAGGUGCUAAUACCGGAUAAGAAAGCAGAUCGCAUGAUCAGCUUUUAAAAGGCGGCGUAAGCUGUCGCUAUGGGAUGGCCCCGCGGUGCAUUAGCUAGUUGGUAAGGUAAAGGCUUACCAAGGCGAUGAUGCAUAGCCGAGUUGAGAGACUGAUCGGCCACAUUGGGACUGAGACACGGCCCAAACUCCUACGGGAGGCAGCAGUAGGGAAUCUUCCACAAUGGACGCAAGUCUGAUGGAGCAACGCCGCGUGAGUGAAGAAGGUUUUCGGAUCGUAAAGCUCUGUUGUUGGUGAAGAAGGAUAGAGGUAGUAACUGGCCUUUAUUUGACGGUAAUCAACCAGAAAGUCACGGCUAACUACGUGCCAGCAGCCGCGGUAAUACGUAGGUGGCAAGCGUUGUCCGGAUUUAUUGGGCGUAAAGCGAGCGCAGGCGGAAGAAUAAGUCUGAUGUGAAAGCCCUCGGCUUAACCGAGGAACUGCAUCGGAAACUGUUUUUCUUGAGUGCAGAAGAGGAGAGUGGAACUCCAUGUGUUAGCGGUGGAAUGCG
rnacentral:rRNA from 1 species